GUAGCAAUACCUAGUGGCAGACGGGUGAGUAACGCGUGGUCAACCUACCCUCGAAUGGGGGAUAACUAACCGAAAGGUUAGCUAAUACCGCAUGAAACGUAGCGCGGCAUCGUGCAACGUUGAAAGAAGCAAUUCGUUUGAGGACGGGACCGCGUCCGAUUAGUUAGUUGGUGGGGUAACGGCCUACCAAGACUCCGAUCGGUAGCUGGUUUGAGAGAGCGACCAGCCACACUGGGACUGAGAAACGGCCCAGACUCCUACGGGAGGCAGCAGUGAGGAAUUUUCCGCAAUGGGCGCAAGCCUGACGGAGCGACGCCGCGUGUGGGAAGAAGGCCUUCGGG
rnacentral:rRNA from 1 species